AAGCUUUAUCAAAUUCAAAAGAACCUCAAAGAAGUUUCAAACAAACAAUAGGAAUUUUUAAAGAAACAUUAAAAAGAAUACAAAUGUCAUUCAAAUACAUCUCAAUUCAAUCUUAAUUUAAUUCUAGUUAAAAUCCUAUUGAACUUCAUUCAAACUUUAAGCCAAACUAAUUGAAUCUUAAAUCCUAAUAAAAUCCUAUAUCCUAAAUCAAACCCUAAAUCCUAAAUCAAACCCUAAAUCCUAAAUCAAACUCUAACCAAAUCCUAAAUCCUAAAUCAAACCCUAACCAAAUCUUAAACCAAAUCCUAAUCCAAACCCUAAAACCUAAACCAAAUCCUAAUCCAAACCUUCAUUUGAAUCCUAAAUCCUAAACUAAAUCCUAAUCAAAUCCUAAACCCUAAAUCAAACCCUAUUCAAAUCCUAGAUCUUAAAUCAAACUCUAAUCCAAACCCUAAAUCCUAAAUCAAACCCUAAUCAAAUCCUAAACCCUAAAUCAAAUCCUAAUCCAAAUUCUAAAUCCCAAACCAAAUCCUAAUCAAAUCCUAAAUCAAAUCUUAAUAAUUCCUAUAAUAGAUUUAAACCAAUAACUAAUGAAUAAACCGUUGAUCUUAAUUCAAAUUUUACACACUUCUAAAAAAAUAAAUUAGAAACAAGCACAAAAAAAAUUGAUAAGGAUCGGAGUUUUCAAAUUGAUGAUAUCUUCAAAAAUGUGCUCGGAUAUUGGCUGGCCUCCUUCUCCAGUCUUGAUGCCAAUCUUCCAGAGCCAAUAUCUCUCUUUUACACCGUUCGAUUGAUUUCAAAAUUCUCAAACACAUAGAAAAACAAGUCUAAUAUCCUCUCACGUGAGUUUCACUUCAAUCCAACAAGUAAUUUGCAAGAAAUCUUAAAAAACCUCACUAGACCUUAAAUUCUACUUUCUGAGACCUUGACCCACUUAAACCUCAAUAUCCUUUAAUUCAACCGUUAGAUCAAGCUCAAACUUACAACAUAUAUUGAACACAAUGAUAAACAUAAAUCUACAAAAUUUCACUCAUAGAUCAAUAAUAGAACUCUUGAAAUCACCCAAAAUGUAAACCCUAUUUUAUUUCAUAAAAUCCAAGUUAUUUGAAACAAACCUUGACUUUGCAAAGCUAUUACAAAGUCAAUAAAAAUUUAAAUCACCCAAAACCAACACCCAUAGAAACUCUAUUUAAUCUUCUAUCAAACCCCAUUCUCCGAUUCACUAAAGAGUCCUUGAGUCGCCGUCAGAGUGCGGUUUUGUACCUUGGGGUCUGAUUUCGACCAAGGUUCAUAACCGGUCCUCUUGGGGUAUCAACUUUCGUCUUCUUGAGAUAAUUUUUACUAAUUUGCACUCCUAACUCCUUCUUCAAUAUGCCUAUAUCCUUUAUUUUUCUAAUCUAUCUUGUUUUGCUUUAUUUUUGGCCCUACAAAGUAAGUAGAAGCUAUUUUUUCUAUAAGGGCAGCAUUACUACUAAAAGUUUUACUACCUUGCUAUCUUUUAUCCAUAUU
rnacentral:lncRNA from 1 species